UAGUUCGGGAUAGCCACUGGAAACGGUGAUUAAUACCGGAUACUCCUUCUUGUUAUAAGACAAGUCGGGAAAGUUUUUCGCUAAGGGAUCAGUCUAUGUUCCAUCAGCUUGUUGGUGAGGUAAUGGCUCACCAAGGCUAUGACGGAUAUCUGGUUUGAGAGGAUGAUCAGACACACUGGAACUGAGACACGGUCCAGACUCCUACGGGAGGCAGCAGUGAGGAAUAUUGCACAAUGGAGGAAACUCUGAUGCAGCAACGCCGCGUGGAGGAUGACGCAUUUCGGUGUGUAAACUCCUUUUAUUAGGGAAGAUAAUGACGGUACCUAAUGAAUAAGCACCGGCUAACUCCGUGCCAGCAGCCGCGGUAAUACGGAGGGUGCAAGCGUUACUCGGAAUCACUGGGCGUAAAGGGUGCGUAGGCUGGCUUUUAAGUCAGAUGUGAAAUCCAAUGGCUCAACCAUUGAACUGCAUUUGAAACUGAAAGCCUAGAGUUCAGAAGGGGCAGAUGGAAUUAGUGGUGUAGGGGUAAAAUCCGUAGAUAUCACUAGGAAUAUCAAAAGCGAAGGCGAUCUGCUGGGAUGAUACUGACG
rnacentral:rRNA from 1 species